rnacentral:guide_RNA from 1 species
AAUCUGGAGAGGAGAUAGUUCCUCGCAACUUGUAAUAU